rnacentral:piRNA from 1 species
GAUCAUAACUUGACUGAUCUUAUGUCUGC